rnacentral:rRNA from 1 species
UACGUAGGGGCAAGCGUUGUCCGGAUUUAUUGGGCGUAAAGAGCGUGUAGGCGGCCUGAAAGGUCAGCUGUGAAAACUCGAGGCUCAACCUCGAGACGUCGGUUGAAACCAUCUGGCUAGAGUCCGGAAGAGGAGAGUGGAAUUCCCGGUGUAGCGGUGGAAUGCGCAGAUAUCAGGAAGAACACCCGUGGCGAAGGCGGCUCUCUGGAACGCAACUGACGCUGAGACGCGAAAGCGUGGGGAGCAAACAGG